GACGAACGCUGGCGGCGUGCUUAACACAUGCAAGUCGAGCGGAAAGGCCCUUUCAGGGGUACUCGAGCGGCGAACGGGUGAGUAACACGUGAGUAAUCUGCCCUGGACUCUGGGAUAGCCACCGGAAACGGUGAUUAAUACCGGAUAUGACACCUUGCUGCAUGGUGGGGUGUGGAAAGUUUUUUCGGUCCAGGAUGUGCUCGCGGCCUAUCAGCUUGUUGGUGAGGUAAGGGCCUACCAAGGCUUUGACGGGUAGCCGGCCUGAGAGGGUGGCCGGUCAAACUGGGGAUGAGACAGGGCCCAGAGUCCUACCGGAGGCAGCAGUGGGGAAUAUUGGACGAUGGGCGAAACCCUGAUCCAGCCACGCGGCGUGAGGGAUGACGUCCUUCGGGUUGUAAACCUCUUUCAGCAGGGACGAAGCGAAAGUGACGGUACCUGCAGAAGAAGGACCGGCCAACUACGUGCCAGCCGCCGCCGUAAUAC
rnacentral:rRNA from 1 species